CAAUAAUAAAUUGGUGCUGCAUCUGCCAUGUGCUACUUUUAUCCACAGUGACCCUUCAGAGUUUGAGAGGCACUUAAAUUCAUAAAAUCUUCAAGUGUUGAAUGAAACCGAGAGACUUUUGCUUGUUUACUUGAACUUAUUCCGAUAUGAAUUUUGUUGGAUGUUUAUGAGGGGAAUGUCUUUGUAUCCACGCUACAAAGGUAGAUCACCUCUAAUCUUUCUCAUCACAUAUUUAUAUUGAAUUUGAUCUGAAUGUGAUCCUUAUGGACUUCACAUCCAUGUUGAUGGCAGAGUCACUGAGGGCUUUGAGUGUGGUGUCAUUUUCUUUCAAAUCUACUGAAAAGAAAACUCCUUAUUGAUCAGAACACAACCACACUGAGGAUUAAUGAUAGGGAAUAAGUGAAAUAUAGAUUAAAUGAUAACUGUAGGAACGUGAACCUGAAUUCUAAAAUAACACUCUCAGAAAGAGGACAAGAAAGAAAGAAAUGUGAAGCUGAAUUGACUCUCUUGAGGUUUAGAGCAUUGAUUAAAUGAUAUGCCGGUUUGAUUAUGACAGAAUGGGAUUACAUGUGAAAAACCAGGAAAAGGAAAUUCUGGUUGCUCACACUGCAAAUGUCCGGA